UACGAAGGGGGCUAGCGUUGUUCGGAAUUACUGGGCGUAAAGCGCACGUAGGCGGACAUUUAAGUCAGGGGUGAAAUCCCAGAGCUCAACUCUGGAACUGCCUUUUGAUACUGGGUGUCUUGAGUAUGGAAGAGGUGAGUGGAAUUCCGAGUGUAGAGGUGAAAUUCGUAGAUAUUCGGAGGAACACCAGUGGCGAAGGCGGCUCACUGGUCCAUUACUGACGCUGAGGUGCGAAA
rnacentral:rRNA from 1 species